rnacentral:rRNA from 1 species
AUGACGAGGCCACCGUGUGCUAACCAAGAAGACAUGCCGCACAAGUGGGAGAACACAUCUUUGGACAAGGUGAAGGAGAAAGAUGUGAAGAUUCCGCCAUGUUGGUGUGGAGAUGUUUGCAAGGUGAAGGUGUCCACCGACCAAAAAAAGUCAUGGACGGAAGGAAGGAGAUAUUUUGUAUGCCCCAACUAUGCUUAUGAUCGUGCGCUUCUAACUCACGCCUAUGACCAACCACCGUCACCGCCUCCUCUAUUCAAGUACUUCACGUGGAUAGAUCAUGAAGUGCCAGAAGAUGUCCAAAAGGACCAAUAUCAAGAUUGUCUUAGGCGCCAGCGGCUGUUCGAAGAAAGGAUUCGAAGAGGCUUGGAGGAAGAGCGUCGUUAG